GACGAACGCUGGCGGCGUGCCUAAUACAUGCAAGUUGAGCGAUGAAGCUUGGUGCUUGCACCAAUUUGAAGAGCGGCGAACGGGUGAGUAACGCGUGGGGAAUCUGCCUUUGAGCGGGGGACAACAUUUGGAAACGAAUGCUAAUACCGCAUAACAACUUUAAACAUAAGUUUUAAGUUUGAAAGAUGCAAUUGCAUCACUCAAAGAUGAUCCCGCGUUGUAUUAGCUAGUUGGUGAGGUAAAGGCUCACCAAGGCGAUGAUACAUAGCCGACCUGAGAGGGUGAUCGGCCACAUUGGGACUGAGACACGGCCCAAACUCCUACGGGAGGCAGCAGUAGGGAAUCUUCGGCAAUGGACGAAAGUCUGACCGAGCAACGCCGCGUGAGUGAAGAAGGUUUUCGGAUCGUAAAACUCUGUUGGUAGAGAAGAACGUUGGUGAGAGUGGAAAGCUCAUCAAGUGACGGUAACUACCCAGAAAGGGACGGCUAACUACGUG
rnacentral:rRNA from 1 species